rnacentral:rRNA from 1 species
UACGUAGGCAGCGAGCGUUGUUCGGAGUUACUGGGCGUAAAGGGUGUGUAGGCGGUCGUGACAAGUCACUUGUGAAAUCUCCGGGCUUAACUCGGAACGGUCAAGUGAUACUGUCGGACUAGAGUACAGAAGGGGCAACUGGAAUUCUCGGUGUAGCGGUGAAAUGCGUAGAUAUCGAGAGGAACACCUGAGGUGAAGACGGGUUGCUGGGCUGACACUGACGCUGAGGCGCGAAAGCCAGGGGAGCAAACAGG